AACGUAGGAGACAAACGUUAUCCGGAGUUACUGGGCGUAAAGGGCGUGUAGGUGGUAAUGUAAGUCUGGCGUGAAAUCCCUCGGCUUAACCGGGGAACUGCGUCUGAUACUGGAUGGCUUGAGGUUGGGAGAGGGAUGCGGAAUUCCAGGUGUAGCGGUGAAAUGCGUAGAUAUCGUAAGGAAGACCAGUGGCGAAGGCGGGUCUCUGGACAGUUCCUGACGCUGAGGCACGAAGGCCAGGGGAGCAAACGGG
rnacentral:rRNA from 1 species